UACGAAGGGGGCAAGCGUUAUUCGGAAUCAUUGGGCGUAAAGCGCGUGUAGGCGGCCCGAUAAGUCCGCUGUGAAAGUCCAGGGCUCAACCCUGGGAUGCCGGUGGAUACUGUCGGGCUCGAGUCCGGAAGAGGCGAGUGGAAUUCCUGGUGUAGCGGUGAAAUGCGCAGAUAUCAGGAGGAACACCAAUGGCGAAGGCAGCUCGCUGGGACGUGACUGACGCUGAGACGCGAAAGCGUGGGGAGCAAACAGG
rnacentral:rRNA from 1 species